CCCAGAGGAUGAAACUCCUCGACCCAACGCCGAAAACGACUGAAGGCGAUGCUGAGAGAAGAUUAUGUGUCAUUAGAUUUCAGAAACAAGUAUUGUAUUUACAUCCCUUUACUAUCUCUAAUCACAUCGUCCAAAUCCAACAGAACUUCAAGUGAUUUAAAAGCCUUCACAAAACCAACUCUACAUCGACUAAAAUUAGGUUUUUACUUCAGUUCUUGUCAGAUCAACGUAAUCAGAGUCAUUUCUUCAGGUUAUUGUCUCAAUCUUUGACAGAUAUACUGACUUGAAGCCAUUAGACAGAUUAAGAUCACUAAAGUUCAUGUUUCCAUGUUUAGAGUUAGGACUUUAACGCAUUCGUUUCCAUUAAUAUCAGAUUUUAUAUGUGUUGACGUUUUAACGCAGUUAAUUGCAUUUUUCCCAAGUGGAACCUUCGUAUUCAUGUUUCUGGUACGCCCAUAAAUCUGACGCACAGGCAGUGAUGGACGAUGACGCCGCUUCUUUCGGCCUAAUGAGGAUUAAUUUCUGAUUCUGAACCGAUGUGAAGGAAAACUCUACAGUUGUGCUCACGUUGUGCUAAAAGGAGUUAGCCAAAGGCUAACAUAGCAUUUCUAUAGCAGCUAACAUGUAGCAGCUAAUGCUAACAUCCACAUUUCUAAGCACAUUUUAGCGUUCUCCAUCGGUUCCUCAUGUCUCCUGGAUCCCAGAGCUGCUGCUGCUGUUCUGAGCUCGUUUCCUGGGUCCACACGGUCCCGCAGGAGCAGAACCGCCUCAGCAGCGCCGCGUUUCUGUCCUGGUCAGGCUGAACAUCCACUGGGACGCGGCGUCGCAUCCAGAGCCUUUAAAGCUGUCAGGGUCUGAGUCAUUGGACUAUUUAAGCUGCCCUGCAGGUCUCCUGCUGCAGGCCGUAUUUCACACGCGUCGCCGGAUCAUUACUUGAGCUGUAAACGAGCCGCAGCAGAGAGACGGAGGUCUUACGGUGCAGCGCUGGAGGAGCUUGUUAAAUUGACUUCCUGUCACCUGGAUUGAUCGUCUUCGGCUGAUCCUGCUGGUCGGAUCUCCGGGUCGGAGUGUCUCAGGUCUCAGCGUUUGGAGGGAUUCAGUGCAGAAGCAGCUUCUGUGUUUAGUCGUGGCUUUUUGGCAGAUUUAGUAAAUUUUAUGCGACUGAAGCUAAAUAACAUGAAAACACAACAUGCAACAAGUUACGUACAAGUUGCUCCUCUGCAACCCCGACAAGAGGGAACAGAGAAACGGAUGGAUCGGAGGUAAAUGAGGAUAAUCCGGGUAAAAAGACACAUUAAAGUCACAUGACACCAGAAGCAUCACUGCCGAGGUGCUGAAGCUGCAAGCGGUCAAAUAAAUCACUGCCAGAAGCAACACGGCUGAAGAACUUCUCAGACUCGACAUCAUUACAAAAACCAGAACAGCACAAAGUUCGGCACAUUAAUCCCACGUCAUUAACAUUAAUCAGACUUUCUAUCUGUCUUACAGAAAAGUUUCAACCUCUUUUAUAAUCUCCCUGCACACAGGCUGCACUCAGCCGGCCCUGUUCAGUCCGGCGUGAGCUGCAGAACAUCUGGAGACGAGAUGAUCACCAAGGAAAACCCAAACACUGAGCCAAACCGUCUGGGUCCAACUUCACCAGGUCAGAACCAGAUAUGGACGUGUGACAGCCUGAGAGGCGUGGCCAAGUGUGGAGCUGAGUGGAAGGAGGUCAAGACAAAAGAACCGUUUCCAACUCGACGACUUUCCAGACCCACCUACUGACUUUUAACCAAAAAAGCAACCAGCAACAAAUCUAGAGACUUUCUUCUGUGUUGUUGGAGAGUUUCAUGCCGACUCCACUCUGCUGUGUCCUGAAUCAGUAGUGAGGGCGGCCAUCAGCCUGUCACGCUUCCUCUGCACGGAAACAUGGAGCUACAACCCUAAACAACACAUUUAGUCAGUUUACCAGUAAAAACAGCAGAUCUGGAGGUGAAUUCUAUAUUAUUUAAUAUUUCACAGUAAUAUUUCCCCAUUUGUGCUGUGGAUGAUGCUCCAAAAUCUAAAUAACAUCCCAAAUAUGUGAGACAGAAAAAUAAUAUUUAGUAUAAUUCAGAUUAAAUCUGAAUAUAUUUGGUCUCACGCUGCAGGUAAACACAGCUGAUGAAGACGUGCUGCUAAACAGUCCCAGUAAUGAGCUAAUAUUUCACACACUGUAAAAAUAAAACACUACCCGUGUUUUCAUAUUAAAAGUAUAAUUGCAUGUAAUUAA